rnacentral:lncRNA from 1 species
CCCCCACCGCCUCCCCGCCCGCCUGGGCCCGCGCAGCCAAUCGGCGCCUCCGCGGCGCUGCACGUGACCUUUGUUGACUUACGUCAGUCAUAGCGCUCUUCCACCGCUGCGCUCCGGUUUGGUUGGCGCUCAGCGCCCGCCUCUCUCGGCGGCCUCACGCCAUUGGUCAGCGUCAGCGGGAGGAGGCGGGUUUUGUGCCCGUCGCGGUUCACGAGAGGGCGAGGAGCCCAUCAAUCAGAAGAGCUUUUCGAUGAUCAGGUACCAGCAAGUUUGCUGAGCGCCUUUAAAAACCGGAGGGCGAGAAGGCGGGGGGAAGUUUUCGGGAGCGGUGCGGGCCUUGGGGGUGGGAGGAGGAGGGUGUGCUGCCCUGCGUUCCCGGGCGGCGUUGCGUAACGAGGGCUCCGGGCUGGGGGCGUAGACGGCGUUGAAGAAGCAGGACCUCGCGCACGAGCCGGGCAGAGCCAUGCCCGCUCGCCUUCCCUUGGCUCGGCCGCGGGGCGUGGCUGCCUUGGCAGCACCGGAUCAUAAUGGUUUCUUCGCGCGGUGAGAAGGGAGGAGGCCCACCCGCAGCCUGAGGGGCCGUUAGGCUGCGGGCAGCGCCCGCACCGAAGGGCGGGUAGAGGAAGGUCCUCCGUGCCCGGAUCCCGCUGCCCUCGCGUCACAGCGGUUAGUUCCAUCCGCCGCAGGAAAGCCGAGGCAAGGCGCGGCGGCGCCAGCGCCCGUUCAGGGACUUUCCCCUCAUAGGGGUGGAGCGACCGUUGGCCCGCCUGCGCCAACGGACGAGCGCGUGGCGGGGCGCGAGGAGAGGGGCGGGGCGGAUCCGCUUCGCACGCGCCCCUCCCCGCGCCUCACUGACAGGUGGAGCUGUGCCCCGUCUGUCGUCACGUGACGGGGGGUGGGGAGGAGAUACCGCCUCGCGAGAGCGCUGUGACGAAGCUACCGCGGCCCCGCAGGCGUGAGGGAGGGGAGGGGGUGCGGCUGCCGGCUGCCAGCGGAGGGCUUGGCGGGGCCAUCCAGUAGGGGAGCGGGAAGGAGCUUUACGGAGCGUUUGAUUACACAGGGCAUGUGUGCAUUUCCAGCAUUGCAGGAGAUGUGCUGAAGACAAAGUCUUGAGCAGUACGAAGGACUCCAGUGUCUCUGUUCCUCUUAAAACAUGACUACGUAAGCUCUCUGGUGCAAAUGCAGCUAGAACAAAA